rnacentral:rRNA from 1 species
UGAGGAAUAUUGGUCAAUGGGCGAGAGCCUGAACCAGCCAAGUAGCGUGCAGGAUGACGGCCCUAUGGGUUGUAAACUGCUUUUAUGUGGGGAUAAAGUGCGUGACGUGUCAUGCAUUGCAGGUACCACAUGAAUAAGGACCGGCUAAUUCCGUGCCAGCAGCCGCGGUAAUACGGAAGGUCCGGGCGUUAUCCGGAAUUAUUGGGUUUAAAGGGAGCGUAGGCUGUGUAUUAAGCGUGUUGUGAAAUUUACCGGCUCAACCGGUGGCUUGCAGCGCGAACUGGUCGACUUGAGUAUGCAGGAAGUAGGCGGAAUUCAUGGUGUAGCGGUGAAAUGCUUAGAUAUCAUGACGAACUCCGAUUGCGCAGGCAGCUUACUGUAGCAUAACUGACGCUGAUGCUCGAAAGUGCGGGUAUCAAACAGG